rnacentral:rRNA from 1 species
AUGCGUAGGGUGCGAGCGUUGUCCGGAAUUACUGGGCGUAAAGAGCUCGUAGGUGGUUUGUCGCGUCGUCUGUGAAAUUCCGGGGCUUAACUCCGGGCGUGCAGGCGAUACGGGCAUAACUUGAGUACUGUAGGGGAGACUGGAACUCCUGGUGUAGCGGUGAAAUGCGCAGAUAUCAGGAGGAACACCGGUGGCGAAGGCGGGUCUCUGGGCAGUAACUGACGCUGAGGAGCGAAAGCAUGGGUAGCGAACAGGAUUAGAUACCCUGGUAGUCCAUGCCGUAAACGGUGGGCGCUAGGUGUAGGGGUCUUCCACGACUUCUGUGCCGUAGCUAACGCAUUAAGCGCCCCGCCUGGGGAGUACGGCCGCAAGGCUAAAACUUAAAGGAAUUGACGGG